UACGUAGGGUGCGAGCGUUAAUCGGAAUUACUGGGCGUAAAGCGCACGUAGGCGGACUCUUAAGUCGGUGGUGAAAUCCUGGAGCUCAACUCCAGAACUGCCUUCGAUACUGAGAGUCUCGAGUCCGAGAGAGGUGAGUGGAACUGCGAGUGUAGAGGUGAAAUUCGUAGAUAUUCGCAAGAACACCAGUGGCGAAGGCGGCUCACUGGCUCGGUACUGACGCUGAGGUGCGAAAGCGUGGGGAGCAAACAGG
rnacentral:rRNA from 1 species